GGAAGUAAAAGUCGUAACAAGGUUUCCGUAGGUGAACCUGCGGAAGGAUCAUUACUGAUUUAGCGAACCGAGCGUUAGCGAGGUUUUGCGAUCAACUUGUAUUUAAAACCCACUCUUCAAUGUAUAAAAUUUGUAUUAAUGAUAAAUUAAAAGAUCACUUUCAACAACGGAUCUCAUGGCUCUCGCAUCGAUGAAGAACGUAGCGAAGUGCGAUAAGUAAUGUGAAUUGCAGUAUUCCGUGAAUCAUCGAACCUUUGAACGCAUAUUGCACUUUCUGGUAUUCCGGAAAGUAUGCCUGUUUGAGGGUCAGUUAAAUAAAAAUCGGUGUUGUUGCCGCUUUCCGUGGUGACGCGUCGGAAUUGAGUCGUCUUCGGUUAAGUGACUUAAGAUUUUAUAUGAUUUUCGAACGUAUUUAAAUUUAUUUGAACGUUUGAUAUCGAAUGCUUAUUAGGUUCGGUCAUCCUCAUGACUCGCGCCUAUAAUUUUUCAUUAAAUGACCUCAAAUCAGGUAAGAAUACCCGCUGAACUUAAGCAUAUCAAUAAGCGGAGGA
rnacentral:rRNA from 1 species